CGCACACGCUCGUGCCUGCUGUCUUCCCCGCCAGGCUGCGUGAGCUGCGCUACCGACAACACGAGCAGACGCGUGUCAUCCUCCACGCGGGACACAUUCCACAUCCACAGCAGCAACAUGGCGACAGAGUUCCACAGCCUCCAGGAGAUGAGGCGCAGCGCGUCCCUGGUGAUGAAAGUGUUCAUCCAGAGAGACUACAGCGAAGGAACCGUCUGCCGCUUCCAGACCAAGUUUCCCUCAGAGCUCGACAACAGGAUCGAACGGAACUUGCUGGAGGAAACGGUGAAGACCCUGAAUUCGUACUAUGUGGAGGCCGAAAAAAUCAGUGGACAGUCUUACCUGGAGGGAUGUCUGGCUUGUGCAACGGCAUACGUCAUUUUCCUCUGCAUGGAGACGCGCUAUGAAAAGGUUCUGAGGAAGAUAACCAGUUACAUCCAGGAGCAGAACGAGAAAAUCUACGGUCCUCGAGGUCUGCUGCUCACCGACCCCAUCGAGAGGGGAAUGAGAGUUCUGGAGAUCAGCCUGUUUGAGGACCGAGGCUCGGGCAGCUCCAGCCCCACCAGCAGCGUUUCGUCUGCAGGGGGAAGCGCUCGAUGACUGGAGGGCCAGCGCCAGGCUUACGGCUGCUAUGGACUCUCUGAAACACGCGCACCAGUGACCAUUGUUAAUCGAUCUCCUUGGUGCCGCCCUGUUUCCUGUGUCAUGGCUGGCUUGCUAGCUUGGAAAUGAAUCUUCGGUUCGAAGGAGGAGGACUGCAACAGGAGGAGUACUGCAGCAAUUUGUUUUAACAAGGAUACAAAAACGCUACAGGACAGCGAAACGGCACCAGGACGAAAAGCCACGGUCACAGGAGUGAAAUACACGGAGGCUUUGGGCAAGAGGCGGGAUACACCCUGGAUUGGUCACCAGUCAGUCACAGGACACAUUUGGACAAACCACCAUUCACACUCAUCAUCACAACUGUGGACAAUUUAGAGUGUAACGUGCAUGUUUUUGGGUUGUGGACAGAAACCACAGGGAGAAGGGGCAAAUCGUGCAAGCUAAACACAGAAAGGCCUCAAAGGAGAUUCGAACCUGCGCACUUCUCGCUCCACACUCACACUCACUGUGGUGUGGAAAGUUAAAAUUGAUUUAAAAACAACAAAGCGCUUUGCAAACGUCACUCAAAUCAUGUGAUUUCCCAUAUGAAGCGUUGGGUUAUGUUUCACAUGUACAGUACCAGUCAAAAGUUUAGACACGCCUUCUCAUUGAGUAGCACGUUGAAGUGUCUCUAAACUUUUUACCUAUACUGUGUAUGUAUUUCAUUUCAGCCAAUUACAAAACAUAUUUUUUAAUUAUGAUAGUACUGGGGCCGCGCAGUGGCCUAGUGGUUAGCAUGUUGGCCACACAGUUAGAAGAUUGGGAAGAUCUGGGGUUGAAUCUCCGUUUGGGCAUCUCUGUGUGGAGUUUGAAUGUUCUGCCCAUGCAUGCGUGGUGUGAGUGUGAAUGGUUUUAUGCGAUUGGGUGGCAACCAGUCCAGGGUGUACCCUGCCUCUCGCCUAAAGUCAGCUGGGAUAGGCUCCAGCAUACCUCUGCAAGCCCUGUGAGGACAAACGGCAUAGUAAAUGGAUGGAUGGCGACUCAGCACCUCCAAAUCCGAGGCCAUGGUUCUCAGUAGAAAGGGCAGAUUGCACUCUCCGGGUUGGGAAUGGGGUCCUGCCCCAGGUGGAGGAGUUCAAGUAUCUCGGAGGUCGACAGGCGGAUCGGAGCAGCGCCUGCAGUAAUGCGGUCGCUGUACCAGACCGUCGUGGUGAAGAGAGAGUGAGCCGGAAGGCAAAGUUCUCAAUUUACCAAUCUAUGAUCUAUCGAUCUAUGUUCCCACCCUCACCUACGGACUUUGGGUUGUGACCGAAAGAACGAGAUCGCGGAUACAAGCGGCUGAAAUGAGUUUCCUCCGUAGGGUGGCUGGACUCACCCUAAGAGAUAGGGUGAGGAGCUCAGUCAUCCAGGAGGGGCUCAGAGAAGAGCCAGUUGAGGUGGCUUGGGCAUCUAGUCUGGACGCCUCCCUGGUGAGGUGUUCCGGGCAUGCCCGGCUGAGAGAAGGCCCCGGGGCAGACCUAGGACACACUGGAGGGAUUAUGUCUCACAGCUGGCCUGGGAACGCCUUGGUGUCCUCCCCGAAGAGGUGGCCGGGGACCGGGAAGCCUGGCCUUCCCUACUGAGACUUCUGCACCCGCGACCUGGACCCGGAUAAGCCGAGGGAAAUGGAUGGAUGGAUGGAUAAACUUUAUGCAAUUUUGUUCUUAAUAUUAUGACUUUACUCUCUUAAUAUUUCAUCUUUAUUCUUGUAAAAUUGCUGCUUUUUCCAUUGUUGUUGUUUUCUUUUAUUUUCUUGUUUAAUUGUAUUUUUUUAGAAUGUGCUGAGGGCCAAUAAAAGAAAAAGCGGGCCAUAAAUGCUCCAAUGACACCACUGAUGUAAACGUUCCGAUAGCUCGGGCUUACUUUUGCCCAUUUCUUCUGGUUUUAUUUGGGUUAUUGUCUGUCAGGAAGAAUAUUGUAACUUAUCAUGAUUGUGGUUUUAUGUCAGCACCACAUGUUCGAUGUAGACAUCGUGUGCUUGUAGGAGGGAUUUGUGAUUGAAAGCAUGCACGUUGUGGUCCUGUGUUGUGUGCCUUAGUUUGUUACAGCACUGGAAAACAGCUAGGACAGAGACACACACACACACACACACACACACGCACACACACACACACAUAGCAUCUUCUUGUAGCCAACAGGAUCCAGUGGACAUCAUUCAAUGACACCAUUUUUCAGUCCUCUUGAGCCAAACUUUAUCACAGUUCUGUUAUUGUAUUCACUGAUGUCUUUCUGUCAUCGUGCGCUUCCACUCUUUCCAAAAAGCGAUGUAAUCCUUCUUCCAGAUAAAGUAGUCGAGCAAAGAUAUCCGUCGCUGUCAUUUUUUCCCUUUUUCUUGGGAAUUAGCUCAUACAUUCAACAAUCCUCUGACAGUCGGUAACCUCUGCCAUGUUUUCCAACGGGACGGUUUUAUCCGGUGAAUAAUGAGCAGGAAGAUGAAUAUUGCAUUAAAUCGAACAAAGAGUCAUCUGUUUGCAACAUUCUAAAAUGUCAUCCCACUUUGGCGUAUUUUUAGGAAAAUAUACAAACUCUUUUCACAGGAACAGCUUUGAUGAUAAAUAAUUAAGGCUGUGGAGAUUAGCUAUAAUAAGUUCUUUUAAAAACCAUGCACAUUGGGGAUCCUUGUUGUUCAUGCAAGUUGAACCUUUGUCAUAAAACUCAGCAAAAAAUAUAAAAUAUUGGACUUUAUCAGACCGCAUCUUCUCGGGCCUGCCUGCAGCUGUUCACGCUCUCUUGCUCGCCGACGGUUCUUUGGCUCGUUAAGCCAGCAUGACACCAUGGCUGGUCGGUCCAGCAGAGAUCCUCAGUUGUGACUUUAAUCGUUUCAAUGCUGUUUAUCUGUCAUUAACAACAUCUGAGGGAGCUUUUUUUUUAUUCUUUAAAAUGUGAGUUGUUUUGUAUUUACAGGUGUGUCCAGCAGAUAAAUGGAUUAUUGUCAGGACGGCUCCAUUUUUGACAAGAAUGUGCAAAAUAUAGUGUAUAACACGUCCAUGCUUCACACAAAGGUGACCUCGCUACAACCUACGUGAUGAAGUUGCAGUGGUGGUAAAGGCAUUCAAAUUGGAUGAGAGCGGUGUUGUUUUGUGGGUAUUCCAAGGAGAACUAAUCACCGGUGAAUCAUUUCGAAAUUUCACGCUGUCUGCAGCUUGUGAAAUACAUUGUUUUGGGUAAGAGCUUGAGCCAAAAUAUUGAAGUUUAUAAAACUGUUUAGGUAAUCAUGCACCUAUGUUUUUGGAAAUGAAAAAUGUGUCUUUUACAGUUAUUGCGUAAAAAUCUGUGCUCGUGUGGUGUUCUAAGAUAAAUCACCAUGAAAAGACAAGGAAGUGUGACUUUUUUUUGCAUUGCUGCAAAUUGUAAGCAAGUACUGCAAACCUGCAAAAAUGUAUUAUUCGACAGAGUCAUGAACGAGUCAGUCAAAACGCCCACGUUUUUUACUGAAUCCGAACUCACAGGUACUCGUCUCUGUUAACGUGUUCACUUACUCACCCGGGCCGCCGCUAGCUAAAUGAAAAAAGGAAACAAGUUAAUAUGUCACUAAUUGUGCAACUGUUUCUCUAACAGCAUUUCAACAAACGAGCCGUGAUUUCCGGUGUAUCAGCUGCUACUUUUUUCUCACAGUGAUGCGGCUAAUUUAAGGCUAAAAGAACUGCACUUCCCAUGAUGCUUAGCCUGCAGCUUCAGGAAGUAGUGAAGUGGACGAGUGAAGUGGAUGCUAAUCUCACGUUUUGCAGUCUUAUGCAGCGAUCGUGUUUUGAUCUGACACAUCUUAAGUAAGUUUGAUCAAGUGUAAAAUGACUACAGUUUCAUUUUGGACUGCUCGGCCCGCCAACUGUCCACUAUCAACAACGGGUUUUCGAAAGGCUGGAUGAGGAGGACAGCUCAAAACUAAAGGGCUAAUUUGUCUCGAGACGAAAGUGACACCGAGAGUGACAACAAAAGAGAGAGAGAGACUGACAAAGUGCGUGACAAAGGAAUUAUGAGGCUGUUCAAUUGUGAUGCUGAAGAAGAAGACUUUAGUGGUUUUAGUUCCCAGGAGGAGGAUGAGGACAGCGAUGAAUGUUACACACACAGUUCGGCAAACAUUUAUUUAAUCAAAAGUUAAAAAAUCUUUCUGUGUAACAUCUUAUAUACUGUAUGUACAAAUCAGUUUUUUCUUUAAAUUUAGUGAGUGUGGUUUACACACCGGUGCGCUCUAAAGUCCAGAAUUACAGGUUUAGACUCGUCAAAUAAGCCUUUCCCCUUCCAGACUCGACAAAACGAACAAUUAACUGCCUGAAGGUGCAGCUUUCACAGAUUGGUGGGUGCUCCGCCAAAGAGUUUCCCCUAACUAUUAGACGGUAAAUACCUUUCCAACAUGGUGGCCAGCACACGCAUACACACUGCGAAGUGUCAUCACCAAAUAGAAAGGAGCUGCUGUCUGUUGACGACACGUUUCAUUCUACUCCGCUUUUAACACAAGUUUAAAAAGUCAGUCCGCUGCGGAAUCACUUAAAUCAGGGGUGCCAAAACUUUUUCCACCGAGGGCUGCGUACUGAAAAAUCUAAGAAUGCGGAGGCCACUUUGAUGUUUUAUAUUUUGCAGCUACAGCAUGCUAAGAAGUUUACUAUAUUUUUUUGAAAAGCCUCCAUCUGAAGCUUUAGGUGACAAAGCAUAUUAUUAAUAUCAACUUUUUCUCCUUAGAAUACACACGUUUGUGCUCACUUUUACGUUUACUUUUUUUUUUUUACACAUAUUUCAACUUUAUUCCUGUGAAGCUUUUCUUUUGUAAUAUUAUGACUUUAUUCAAAAACAUUUUGACUUUGUUCUUAAAAUAGUAUAACUUUUUUCCCAACCAAAUUGCACAUUUAUUCUUUGUUUUUUUUUUCUUCUCAUGAUAUCAUGACUUGAAAAAAAAAUCCUUUUUUUCUUUAAUAUUUCAACUUUAUGCUUCCAAAAUAUUUUUUUUCCUCAUAAUAUUACGACUUUAUUCUUGUAAAAUUCACACUUUUUCUUGUAAGAUUACCACUUUUCUCUCUUAUUAUUAUAUAACUUUAUUCUCCAAAUAUUUUGACGUUAUUUUCGUAAAAUUACUGCUCUUUUCUUUCAUAUUUGCUGUUGUUUUUUGUUUUUUUUAAUGUUCCUGUUCCAUUUUACUUUUACAAUGUGUCGAGUGCAAUUAAAACAACAGAUACGAGCGGCAAAUGGCCUACGGGCCGCACUUUGGACACCCCUGACUGAAAUGACAGUGUUUACGCCUUAAACAUUUUGCACUUUGAAUUCAGUAUGUUUUUGUGACAUUUCUUCAGGUCUUUUGGCGAGUUUGUAUUCAACUAGCUUCACGAGAUGAGCGGUACACAAGCAGAAAACUCAUUCAGAGAAACUAUUUAAGUCUUUGUGCUGCUUAAGUAGCAAUAUUGUAAGUGAUAAUAAUUUGACUUUACAUAUGAUUGUAUCUAUUUUUGCUAAUAGGUUUUGGCUUCUUCUCGUACUUUGUAAGGGUUAGUUCGUAUUGUAUGUAAUGUUUUGAAGCACAAAACUGUAUGUGUGUUACCUUUUUUUGCACAUUUAUUCAUAAAGAAAAAAACGCCCUUGAGGCAUGUGUUAAACUAUUUUUUAACAACUGCAAGAGUUCACCGCUCUCUUUACACUGCCAUCAUGACCUUUUGUGAAAUGGGCAGGGAAAUCACCGCAGUUACAUUAAAUGCUCACUUUGGUUCCAUUUGAUUACCAAGAGAAGAUCAUAUUCCAGGGACAGGAUGUUGCUUAAUAAAAGCUUCACGUUCUCCUUCCUCCUUGAAUCUAAUUUCUUUAUAAUAUGGUGUUCACUGAAUAGCUUUAUCAGCGGGGAGGUCCGAUACAUUGUAAUGAAAUAACGCAAUUAAACUAUGGCGAAUGAUGAUAGGUGCCUGGAGCGUGAUUUAAUGAGAACUGUGUUGGAUUUUGUGUGAAAAGUAAGGUAAGUUAGUGUUUCCCACAGGACUGCAGUCUAUUUGUGGCAGUGAGUUGAAGGGCACGGGUCUAACGUAAUGAUGUAAUCGUUGAAUGCGCAUAAUUGGCCAUGACGCAUUUGCAAAAAGCGAGUAAAUAAAUGUGUUUACCACUACGAAUGAACUCCUUUUUGUCGGUGCUUUAGCCUCACAAACAAUCAAAAACAGCCUGUGAGUGUUUUUAGAUGGGGGCGGGGGUCCGCAGCAGCAUAAGAAGAGCAGCGAGUCAGUCUUCAAAGGACCCUUCUCUAGAUUUGCGGCUAGUUACUCGUUUUUUUAAAAUGACCAUCUAGAGUGAUCUGAUAGUUGGCAACACCAAUCCCUCCUGCUCCGUGCUUUUAUUCUCUGGCAGACCAGGUGCGUUAUAGUCUGUUUACGAGUGAGGGUGCACAGGUAGCGCCAAAUCUAUUUGUGGCGGGGCGCAUGAACGUAUGGAAAACACUGUAAGUAGUAAGUAUUUUGGUGUUCAUGUAUUAUUUUAAUGAAAAUAAUGUUCCCUAACACUAAUCUUCACACCCGAACCACUCAGAAAAAAUAAUAAAGUAGAAUUUCAUGGAAAAUAUCAUGCUUUAGAGCCCAAAUACGUUUUCAGCACAACAUGAUACAAUAUCCGCCAUGUUUUGGAUUUGAAACGAAUGUAAUGUCGUGCUUAACAAUUUGUAUGAUUUCCUACUAAAUUGGAGUGACGUCAUGCAGAUUCCAGCAAAUAAAACGAAACGUCUUCUUGUGCUCUCUCACACAAAAACGUCGACUUUGCUGUGCUGUGGAAUUAUUAAUAGUUAACAAAAUGUAAGCCACCACGACAGGCAGAUGGUCUGGCAUAUGUUCCCUAGGAUACACACACACAAACACACACACACACACACACACAACUUGUAGCUUGGAGACCUGGUGUUCCUCAGCGUUCCGGUAAGCCCGAACAUAGAAUGAGAGUGGCAUUGUGCACAUACAGAUGGCGACCUCGGCGUGUCCGUAUUGAAAGCGGCUGGUGGAACCAGUCAGUUCUGAGCAGUGAGUUCUCCACUGCGGCCUCCGCUUAUUGACUUGGACUCAGUUCAAAUCCAGCUGAGACAAAUGCCAGGUGAUGACGUGAGGGCUAUGCGAGUCUAACAGAGUUAGUUCUAGCAUGCUCCCUGCAAGUUCCUGCAUAGUCCAGAGGUGGGAACAGCUGUACACGAGCAAUAUCACUGAUCCAGAGAGAGUUUUAGGAUGAAGAGAAAGAGGAUAGAUAGUUUCUGUGCAUCCUUUGUUAAAACGACGAGAGCUGAGUGAAGGAGAAGGGAGGCGGCUACAGUAGUCCACUCUGGAGAUGGUUAGAGAUGAGAAGAAGCAUGCCGAUGGGUGACAGCCAGAAUGAACAAGCUGACCACGUGCAUUGUGCAGAAGACCGUGUCUUCCCAAAGUAAGCCACCUGGGCUGCAGAAGAGAACAGACAAAGAAGUUGGACAAGAUCUGUGCCUUCAUGGCUGACAGGACUCACAUGGGAAGGCGUAUUAGUCAUGCAAGGCAUUGGAUCGGAGCAGAUCCAACAGUUCAACCUCUACUGUAUGGUUGAACUGUUCAAGGGCUCUGGUCAAGGAUUUUUCCCAUUGGAAAUAAUGGAAAUAGAAAUAUUUAUGUCUAUAACUUGAUAAGGGAUAACCGCUGUUAAGGGUAAAUUCUAAAAACAAUAAAGUACACACAGUACUUUAAAUGCUUAAAUGCAAAUCAAUUAGCUCCGAAGUCUCCUAAAGUCGUCGGGUACAUGCUCUACAAAAACAAAUAAGCGCUGGCGUCUCUAAUUAGUGCCUGCUCAAAAAAUAGUGGCAUUAACAACUGUGGCUGCAGGCAACCUCCUGAUGUAUUUUUGUACUACCUUCACAAGAUGGCAGUAGCUCAUCGGUGGUCUGCCUUGAGCAGCUGUAUCUACCUCUGCAUGCGCUUUCAAAUGCUGGUUGUGCCACUCAGCUGUUGGUGUGAAACUCAUCCAUUUACAUCUGCUGUAAAAAUGAACCCGGUUUGCUCCUUACCGCUGUUACAAUAUUGGUUCUGUUGCAAUAUACUUCUUCAUAAAUGACUACGUGCUCAAAGAUGUUUGCCUUUCAAUUUUCUCACGCAAUCCAAAUCCUUCCUCAAGUUAAAAAAAAACAAACAGUUGUUAUAGAAAUGAGUUUUCAAAUUUCGGAAAUAACAGCUUAUCUCCAAAUAUCGCCUACUUCCAAUUAAGCCGAUCUCGCUCAUCCCCGGACCACUCACCCACGCAUGCGGACCCAUCAUAGUUGGGCUCAAAGCCCUGGUUGCAUCUCUUCUUGGCGCGGCAUUUAAAACUGCCGUAGGUGUUGGUGCACACGGGACGGUCAGAGGGACACACAGAGGGAAACUGGGUACACUCAUCUUUAUCUGAGGAACAGGAGGAAGGGGAGAAGGAGAAGGCACCCAAGCUUCAUGAUUCUGUACACAAGACCGCAACGAGCCGGAGGUUUCAACUUACCAAUGCAGCGGCCAUUUUCAUUCAGAGCAAAGCCGUGACCGCACUGCAAGAUAAAGAGUUAAACUAUGUGUGUCAACCUUGCCAAUAAACUAACAAACCAAGAAUGCAUGGUUGUAAAUGACCAUAAUGUACCCGACUCCAUCAGGCAGCUUCACAUUUACAUUUAUGUUCAUGCAGGAAGUGUAGUUGGCAAGUUUGAAGCAAGACAGCCAUUCAAUGUGGCCUUCUACGACCACCGUAAUGUACCUCUAUUUCCACAGUGGGAGUGAUUUCCUCUUUGUCUCUCGGAUAGUGGAUCUCCAGCACAGAGUUGAUCUCUGAUGGCUCCAAGGGUCGAGCGAUGGAGCGACCAUCCGGCCAGUACACCUCCACGUUCGUGGCCACGUCCUUACCUUAGAAGUCAUCCAGCAGAGACACAACGCUCAUUUUACGCUCGUCAAGCUGAUCUAACGUAAAAGCUACAUAGAAAACAGCAAAUCACAUUGGGUCAUUGGUUGGAAAUACAAGUGUAUGCAAACGUAAGUGUUGUUAAUUAUUUAUAAUUUACAUAUAAAUAAAACAUUACAGUCCUCCCUCGUUUAUCGUGGCUAAUUGGUUCCAGACACGACUGCGAUAUGCAAAUUUCCGCAAAGUAGGGUUCAACUUCAAUAAAUUGAAUAUUUUUGUAAGAGCACAGAAAACCAGACUUUAUAAAAUAUGUUUGUACUUUUUUAAAAACCAUUAUUAGAGCCCUGUAGACAUGAAAUAACACCCCUAUAGUCACCUUUAAACUCCAAAAACAGAUGUUUCAUUUAUUAAUUUAUACAGGUAUAUAUUUUUAAAUACUGCCAUACAGUGAGGGGUCGAUGUUCGAACGUAACGUAGCGAGGGAUGACUGUAAUUGUUAAAUUGUUGAAAAAUAAUGAUUCAUCUUUAGUAAUAUACCCUAAGCGAGGGGUCUCAAACUCAAUUUCACUGGGGGCCACUGGAGGAAGAGUCCGGGUGAGGCUGGGCCGCAUCAAGUAUUGGGAGUAGGGCUGGGAAUCUCAGGGUACCUCACGAUACGAUACAAUUCACAAUACAUCCAUGUGAUAACACCACUGUUAGUUCAGUGUUGGUGUUUGCUUGCCCUUGUAAGUAUGUAUGCAACACUCAGCUUGCCCGGAUGUUGCGGGCUGCAGUUACACUACUCUUUGAUGUCCAGUCGUGGGCCGCAAGAUACUAUUUGGUGGGCCGCAAAUGGCCCACGGGCUGCUAGUUUGAGACCCCUGCCCUAAACAAUAUUAAAAGUGUGGCAUAUACAGUAUUUGAGUGUAUUUUUUUCACAUCAACAUGUAAAACUCAUGUUGAUGGGAAAUAGUCUCAUUCUUCUUUAAUAUACUAUAUUGUAAAUUCUUGUCAGAAAUGUUGAUCCAUAGUACCGUACAAUCAGCUUUGCGCUAGUAUUAAAUAUGUGUACAGUACUGUGCAAAGUACUUCAAACAUAAUUAGUUGCUUUAGUAAUGCAAUAAUGAACAAUUGAACAAUUGAAAAAUUGUAAAAGGCUAUAGUGCCAAGUAUUUUGUGUGAGUUCUGUGCUAUUUUACCUGUCACAUACAUAUAGCAUGCAGCCAAAUUUACCCAAAAAACAUUUCCAACACUGCAAAGUUAUCUAAAAAAAACUUUAAAAAUAAUAAUGCAUUACAUGUAAUGCACUACGUGCAGGAGCUUUAAUUAAAAACUCAUUCCUAAUGCCUUCCUACUAUUUACAGUUUUAUUAUGCUGUUAAAAAAGGCAUUAAACCAGUAAGUGGUAACCUAAGACUAUGACAAAAUGUUGUGUCUGUUCUGAAUCGGCACAAAGAAAUGUCUCUCCGC